rnacentral:rRNA from 1 species
AGUAACACGUAAGUAAUCUACCUUCGAGUGGGGAAUAACGUCCGGAAACGGACGCUAAUACCGCAUAAUGCAGCGGCAUCGUAAGAUGACAGUUGUUAAAGGAGCAAUUCGCUUGAAGAGGAGCUUGCGGCAGAUUAGCUAGUUGGUAAGGUAAUGGCUUACCAAGGCUACGAUCUGUAACCGGUCUAAGAGGACGGUCGGUCACACUGACACUGAAUAACGGGUCAG